rnacentral:rRNA from 1 species
AAGUAUAGCCAUAGAGGGUGAUAGUCCCGUAUGCGAAAAACAAACCUUAGCUAGCAGUAUCCUGAGUAGGGCGGGACACGAGAAAUCCUGUCUGAAGCUGGGUCGACCACGAUCCAACCCUAAAUACUAAUACCAGAUCGAUAGUGCACAAGUACCGUGAGGGAAAGGUGAAAAGAACUGAGGUGAUCAGAGUGAAAUAGAACCUGAAACCAUUUGCUUACAAUCAUUCAGAGCCCUAUGUAGCAAUACAGGGUGAUGGACUGCCUUUUGCAUAAUGAGCCUGCGAGUUGUGGUGUCUGGCAAGGUUAAGCAAACGCGAAGCCGUAGCGAAAGCGAGUCUGAAUAGGGCGCUUAGUCAGAUGCUGCAGACCCGAAACGAAGUGAUCUAUCCAUGAGCAAGUUGAAGCUAGUGUAAGAACUAGUGGAGGACUGAACCCAUAGGCGUUGAAAAGCCCCGGGAUGACUUGUGGAUAGGGGUGAAAGGCCAAUCAAACUUCGUGAUAGCUGGUUCUCUCCGAAAUAUAUUUAGGUAUAGCGUUGUGUCGUAAUAUAAGGGGGUAGAGCACUGAAUGGGCUAGGGCAUACACCAAUGUACCAAACCCUAUCAAACUCCGAAUACCUUAUAUGUAAUCACAGCAGUCAGGCGGCGAGUGAUAAAAUCCGUCGUCAAGAGGGAAACAACCCAGACUACCAGCUAAGGUCCCUAAAUCUUACUUAAGUGGAAAACGAUGUGAAGUUACUUAAACAACCAGGAGGUUGGCUUAGAAGCAGCCAUCCUUUAAAGAAAGCGUAAUAGCUCACUGGUCUAGUGAUUUUGCGCGGAAAAUAUAACGGGGCUAAAGUAAGUACCGAAGCUGUAGACUUGCGCACAACUUAGAUUAUUUAAGUUUAGAAUAUGAGAAACUAAGUUAUAUGUUUAGUUAUAUUUUUACUGAUUUUUAUAGAGUAAAGAUAGAAAUAAAACUUAGUAAAAUCAGUAAAAAUAUUCUUAGACUAAAGUUAAGUAGUUUAAGUUGUGUGCAAGUGGUAGGAGAGCGUUCUAUUUGCGUCGAAGGUAUACCGGUAAGGAGUGCUGGAGCGAAUAGAAGUGAGCAUGCAGGCAUGAGUAGCGAUAAUUAAUGUGAGAAUCAUUAACGCCGUAAACCCAAGGUUUCCUACGCGAUGCUCGUCAUCGUAGGGUUAGUCGGGUCCUAAGUCGAGUCCGAAAGGGGUAGACGAUGGCAAAUUGGUUAAUAUUCCAAUACCAACAUUAGUGUGCGAUGGAAGGACGCUUAGGGCUAAGGGGGCUAGCGGAUGGAAGUGCUAGUCUAAGGUCGUAGGAGGUUAUACAGGCAAAUCCGUAUAACAAUACUCCGAGAACUGAAAGGCUUUUUGAAGUCUUCGGAUG